rnacentral:rRNA from 1 species
GACGAACGCUGGCGGCGUGCCUAAUACAUGCAAGUAGAACGCUGAAGGAGGAGCUUGCUUCUCCGGAUGAGUUGCGAACGGGUGAGUAACGCGUAGGUAACCUGCCUGGUAGCGGGGGAUAACUAUUGGAAACGAUAGCUAAUACCGCAUAAGAGUAGAUGUUGCAUGACAUUUGCUUAAAAGGUACAAUUGCAUCACUACCAGAUGGACCUGCGUUGUAUUAGCUAGUUGGUGGGGUAACGGCUCACCAAGGCGACGAUACAUAGCCGACCUGAGAGGGUGAUCGGCCACACUGGGACUGAGACACGGCCCAGACUCCUACGGGAGGCAGCAGUAGGGAAUCUUCGGCAAUGGACGGAAGUCUGACCGAGCAACGCCGCGUGAGUGAAGAAGGUUUUCGGAUCGUAAAGCUCUGUUGUAAGAGAAGAACGAGUGUGAGAGUGGAAAGUUCACACUGUGACGG